CCUACGGGAGGCAGCAGUCGAGAAUCAUUCACAAUGGGGGAAACCCUGAUGGUGCGACGCCGCGUGGGGGAAUGAAGGUCUUCGGAUUGUAAACCCCUGUCAUGUGGGAGCAAAUUAAAAAGAUAGUACCACAAGAGGAAGAGACGGCUAACUCUGUGCCAGCAGCCGCGGUAAUACAGAGGUCUCAAGCGUUGUUCGGAAUCACUGGGCGUAAGGGGUGCGUAGGCUGUUUCGUAAGUCGUGUGUGAAAGGCGCGGGCUCAACCCGCGGACGGCACAUGAUACUGCGAGCCUAGAGUAAUGGAGGGGGAACCGGAAUUCUCGGUGUAGCAGUGAAAUGCGUAGAGAUCGAGAGGAACACUCGUGGCGAAGGCGGGUUCCUGGACAUUAACUGACGCUGAGGCACGAAGGCCAGGGGAGCGAAAGGGAUUAGAUACCCCUGUAGUC
rnacentral:rRNA from 1 species